GGAACAGCCCCGCAACCCGUCAGGAGCUCUUGCACGGACUCAAGGGCUGGAGGGAGUGAGGGGGAGGGCUGCCUGGCAGAGCUCAGCCUUCAGGAGAGGGGCACGGCCACCCCUCGGAACUCACUGCCUGACCUCUGUCAUCCCUUAGUGCUCCCAUCCACCACAGCCACAGCACGCAGAAGCCAAGGGUCAGGGAGCUCAUGCACGGGGCUCACUCAGGUCAGCCUCCGGGCAUGGCAGGUGAGCUGGUCUGCAGGGCAUCCUCUGAGCCCUCGGGGUCUCCACUCUUGCAUGGGGACAAUGACUGUGCCAGCGUCACCUGGGGCGUGAGGAUGAAGAGGUGAAGUUUGGAGAACAUGAGCCCAGUGCCUGCAUGUGGUCAGCUCUCGGGGCCUGACGCUGUGUGAUCUCCUGUCAGGGAUGGCCCUGCCUUGCUCUGUUCAGAGGACCAGCCUCCUUCCUGAGGACAGAAAAGGUUUUAGGCCUCUCCUGGUCAUGCUCCCAUAUUCGAGGUGCUGAUGGCAUCACUGUUGGUGUGAGCAGGAAGGACUAGGAAGGAGGAACAGGGCCUCCGUCUGCCUGCUCCGCUGUGGGCAUCGCCAGAAUGCCGUCAACUGGGGGGCGACUCCCUGACUUGCCAGCAAAUCAACGGAAAGGGAGUGCCAGAGUGACGCUUCCAUCCUAGAUGGUCAGAGCACAAGCAGCUUGCCGCUGAUGAAGUCGCCACGGAAGCCAGCCUGGAGACGCAGAGCAGGAAGAGACCGCCCCGCAUUAAACAGAACCUGCUGCCCCGUUAACCCUCGCCUCUCCCCUGCCCUUCGCCAUGACCCCCGAAGCCCGGAGGGGGGAGAGCAGCCUCUGGCCUGGACGGACAAGGUGGCGGGGGGGGGCUGUGGGGGCGCUCACUUAGAGAACGGGAUGAGGGUCAGAUGUCCCCUCUGGGUUGGUGGGAAGUUCCUGGGCACUCUGGCCUGGCUGGGUCUCCACGGCAGGGCAGGGGUACUGGGAAGAGGCUGGAAGAGCACUUAGGAAGAGCCCAUUACUCUGCUUUCCUGGACAUCAGUGAGAGAACAACUUGGGGGUAUUCACACUUGACCGAACACGUGAAACACGAUGCCCGCCCUGCCCCAACAAGUACCCCUGGCCUUGGUUAGUCUUCCAUAAAAUGGGAAUCUAGAAAUAAUCUAUAAAUAGUUUAUCUAUAAAAUAGGCAUAAUGCCCACAGCUGGUGGAAUUUUAGUGAUGAUGGAACAUAUUUCUAAAGCCCGUGCUUGGAAUAUAGCAGGUGCUUGAUAAAUGGGAGCCUUCGUUAUUAUUAUCAUUGUGUGGGUUCAUUCGUCAAAUCCAAUGUCCCAGAACUCACUAAGAUCUGAAGUCCUAUUGAAAAGAAAUGGACUAUUUCAAGCAUCAUUCAAGACUCUGAAGGUGAAACAUGAAAAACCCAACCCAUACGGUCGGUGCUCAAAUAACGCUAACAUCAACCAAAGUGUGUCCUGUGCCACGGUGUCUAAGACCUGGGUGUGUAUGGAUGGUGUGAGAAUGCAUCCAUCACACGUGCAGAGGUCAUGGCUGUGCACAAGCACGGACUCCCCAACACAAACACCUGCUACACGUGAGGGUCUCCUUCCCUCCUGAUGGAAUCUAUAGCAUGAAACUUCAGACUUGGUUUGCAGUCAAGGCACACAGUAUUAUAUUCUAGAAAAAAGUUUAUGGCAGAAGGUAAUAGAGUUUUG